rnacentral:misc_RNA from 1 species
GAAAAUUGAAGAAGAGAAAAAGAAAAAGAAGAUAAAUAAUGAUGACGAAGAUAAGCACCCAACCUAUAGAGGGGUACGUAAGAGGAGUUGGGGCAAAUGGGUGUCCGAAAUUCGCGAACCAAAAAAGAAAUCAAGAAUAUGGCUAGGUACUUAUCCAACGGCUCAAAUGGCAGCUCGAGCUCACGACGUGGCAGCUUUAGCCAUCAAAGGAUGUUCGGCUCACCUUAAUUUUCCUCAUUUGGUUGAUCAAUACCCACAUCCGGCUUCCACUUGUCACAAGGAUAUCCAAGCAGCAGCCGCAAAGGCUGCUGCCAUCCCAUUUCCCGAGGAAGACGAGGAAGAGGAAGAUCAAAUCGAGUCGGAUCAAGUUGAAUUACGA